ACCUUCCUAAGGGCUUGCAUUUGAAAUGGAAUCUCAGGCUAAUCUCUGCCAGCCACCUUUCUGACAUAAACUCAUUUCUUGUCCCAGAUCUACAAGGGCUUUGUCACCAAACCUGCUGCAGCAGCAGCAUGGUCUAAAGGAGCCUUUGCUCUCCACCCUGAGAAGCGGAGCCGGGGCGGUUUGUUCAUCUCCAGUGCUGACCCAGCUGCUGCUCAGCAACAGGAGAUCAAGGAUGACUCCCUGGAGCUACGGAGAACUGCCGUAGAAAAGCAGUCUCUGUGCUGGCCACCUGUGCUGCAGAGCUGUCUGCCUGGUUGUUGUUGUUACCCAGCCGAACACAAAGGGUUCAAAGCUUCAGGCUCUGGGUCUGUCUUUUGAAUCUCCUGGAAGCUGGGAUCUCUGCUUUAAAGUGAGCAUCUUGCAUUUUGUUUCCCUCAGGGAAAAUAGUGAACAUGGAAAAUCCCGUGAUGAAAUACACGGAACUGGAACAUAUUGGCAGAGGGACUUUUGGAGAUGUUUGCAUAGCACUUGACAAUGCCA